rnacentral:rRNA from 1 species
AACGGCCAUACCAUGUUUAAAAUACCGGUUCUCGUCCGAUCACCGAAGUUACGAAGUUAGGCAACAUUGGGCAUGGUUAGUACUUGGAUGGGUGACCGCUUGGAAACACCACGUGCUGUUG